GCAAACUUGGUCAUUUAGAGGAAGUAAAAGUCGUAACAAGGUUUCCGUAGGUGAACCUGCGGAAGGAUCAUUAUCGAGUUUUUGAGAUCCAAGAUCUCAUACUCCCACCCUUUGUGUACCAAACAAAUGUUGCUUCGGCAGGAUCUCAGAUCUGAUCUGCCUCUGGUCUUUUUGGCUGGAGUGUCUUGCCGGGGGUAUCUUAUACACUGAUUCCAAUGGAGUUGUCUGAUUCAAACAUCUAAUGUUUAAAACUUUCAACAACGGAUCUCUUGGUUCUGGCAUCGAUGAAGAACGCAGC
rnacentral:misc_RNA from 1 species